rfam:Thermococcus gammatolerans EJ3, complete genome.
UCCGAUGAUUGGAAAGAGAGUGAGCUGACGGGAUGAUGACCGACUUCUCGCUGAGG